rnacentral:misc_RNA from 1 species
CUAUACUGACCACCCUGGCCUUUUUGUUUUCCGUGCUCUUCCACUCUCUCCCAGCAUCCAUCGCCGACGUGCACCUCCGCACCCGCUCACAACGUGCAAGUGCCGACGCCCGCCGCGCUCUCGAGUGUGACGCUGCGGAGAGGCAAAAUCAUAGCAUACGCGCAGGUAGAGAAGAGACUCUUCCCUCUCCCUCCACACACAAAAACGAUAAUCAAAACGUGAAGGCGUACACGCACACACAUCCUUCUCUCUCUCGUCGACAUUUUUAGAUUGUACCCAUACUGACGCACGGUCAGAGAGCCAGAGCGGGUGGGAGAUACGAACGUGAGCAGGCAGUCUUCUCGCAUCUUUUUCGUUGUCGGUUCCGCCGCUCCCUUGCAGAGCCAGCGGGCGUAGACGGAGGAGAGAGAGGCUGUGCAUCAUCUUUAACGGCACCUUCUCGACCCGCUCUCCGUGCUUCUAUCUUGCAAAACGUUUUCAGGUGAGCACCCCAUCUCCCUCCUCACACACCCUCACACCCGUCUUGCUGGAGGUGCCCCACACCUCUCCCAACGACUACCGCGCACACAAACACGCGCGCGUGCUCGUUUCUUUUCUGCUUUGUGUCUUUCUUCGCCUGGUUGUUUGGCACUGUCGUGCGCUGAGUAGACUCGCGGCUGCAGAUCACUUGCAGCGCAACUCGCAUGCCUCUGCAUGUCCGCGUGAGUGUAUUCCCCACGUGCUGAAGUAGCCAUACCGGCGGGAUAUCCAUCGAUCGACCUCUAUAUGACCUUGUCCAUACAAUAAACAAAACUACAUGCGCUACGCUGCCCCGCACAAACGAGGGUGAGCGGAAAAACGCGGCCAUAGCAGGCCAAACAUAUGCGAUCGGGGUACAUACCCGUGCUUGACUCUCGGACUGGGACUCUGCUCUCUCUGCGUGUUUGUUUCUUUUGCUUUCCUUCUGCUUCCGCCUCGGAGCACGGCGCCCCCCACCCCCGUCACGUCGGCGCUGUGUGUGUGUGCGUGUGCCUUCGCUGUGGUGCUCCCCUCCUACCGCGUGAUCGGUUGUCUGUGGAGGGCUGCCCAUGAGCACCACUGGCACUCCUGCCGUCGCCGCCAAGGAGCGCAGAGCGUCUUACAGUCGUGGAGGGGUGAAGGCGCGCGCGCUGCGCUCGCGGUCAAAGUCACCGCGAGCGCUCACGCCGCCAAAACAAGGGCAGCGGUCAUCUCUGAAAGUGAGCUCCUCAGUUUACGAUGCCUCGAGUGAGGCAACCGUGGCGCGACUCUGUCCUCGCCGAGCCAACAGUGCCUCGCCGACAAAGCCGCGGGCGCUAAGUUCGUUGGCUCGAGCCCCCUCCUCCCCAAUCCUGUGGUGCGUACACUCCGGUCAUGGUGCAGACGUCGAUGGCAUCGCCGCCGCUGCUGUCGCUGGCGCAGCCAGUCCUGUGUGUCGACCGUCACAGACUUCACCGACCGCGCCAACGAUAGCGGAGCAGAUCAGACGCAUGCGCCGCCUCCUGCGUGAGGUGAAGCUCCCUUUCAUGGAUGUGCACCUCAUAGAGACUUACUUGUUCCACCUCGCGUGGGGCACGCCCGCUAAGGAAUCCAUCGGCAAAGAAUCCAUCUCCGAUGUGCCCAUAUCGGGAGACUGGACAUCCCCGGAAGCUGGUAUCUGCCGUGAAGUUAAACGACCGUCUCCGCCUACACUGCCAGGAGUCGGACUGAAAAGCACUACCAUGGCAAGGCCUGUCACCGUGGCAACCAUCUCCCACGCGCCUAGCCUCGAGGUGGCCGAGGUUUCAAAAUCAGAGUGUUACUAUCCCUUCAAGACGUCUACAGGGGGCAGCGAGAGACACCGAGACGGACAUACCGACAACGCGGCAGCUGUUAGAAGACCACUGCGGUGGAGGGCGAGGCGGAUAGCUGAAGACGACUGCUUCGCGGCUGCACAAACGGAUCAGCACACGAAGGAUCUUGGCUCCUGUCCGUCUACCACAGAAGCCCCCGACAUCAUCGACAAAGCCGAUGCCAUGAGCUGCGCACUGGCAGAGGAAGGCCAUCCCCGCCCGCCACCGCGCCCACCACGACCGCAGCCGUCGUCACGUGCCGCCAUGGUCAGCCGCAGCGCCUUCACAGAGAGUUGCGCGCAGCAGCAGCAGCAGCACAUGCCGGCAGCCUUUCCGCUCUCCUUGUUGGGUAUGAUGGAGCGUGUGCUGAGGGGGUACAAGGCAGCUCUCGCCGUCGCCCUGCGUGCUGUCAUGCAUCGAGAGGCGGUUUGGACGGCGCUCCAGCAGUUUCUGAAUGUGGUGCGCUUGGACUGGGCGCCGUUAGCGGCUCAUGUAUCACAGGUAGGUGCGCCUGUCGCGCCACGGGCACAUGGCCAAUCGAAUGGGGCUGCGAACGGGACGCUUGGCUCCUCUGGUAUCUCGGGGGCCCUGCCAAAUCUGCGUUCGCCGCGUGAUGGUGUUGGCAACUCCGGCGACAUGGCCGUCGGCGCUUGCCGAUCAGAGGCGCUCGUGUCUCCGCACUACACGGCACAUGGAAUGAGCUCGUCGUCCAGCACCGCAGAAAGUGAUUGUGGCAACCCUAAGCGUAGCUCAACACCAGAAAAGCAGGCAGCGUUGCACACAUCCUCCGACCGAACCGGAACAGUCGUCGACGGGGAGACCAUGCGAAGCAGCAGCGCCCCCUUGCUCAAAAGGACCGUCUCGCCUGCGGAGAGCGCCGUUCGCCAUGAGGACACAAGUGUGCGCACAGCCAGCUGUGAGGACGAUGGGCAAGUCGCCAUUACUGGGCCACCACCCGAGGCUAUCGGCAGUGCACAGCAAGAUCGCCAUCCGCGUGGGCAGCAGCGUCCAUCGCUGCGCCUCUCUGCUGAGUCGCUUCGACAGACAUCUGUGCAGUACGCCCGCGGAGCCUCAAGCGAAGCAGCAGCGUUGAAUGACUCACCAGUGUGCAAGCCUCAGCCACCGCCACCGAGGAUUGUACCACGGCUGCUUCGCGUCCCUAUCUCCACGCCGUCAUCUAGCGCGGGUGCUGCGAGGGAUGCCACUAGCGCGCUUGUGCCGUCUCGCGCGCGCUCAGUGGCCGCCCAAUGUCGCAGGACUCUUGACCGUCCAGACCCACUUCUCUCAGCUGGAGCACGGGGGCCCGUGUGUAACGCUGCCGCGCAUCGAACACUCGCCCUUCGCCAUGCGUUUCCAGCUUUACCUGGCAAACAGCAGGCCUGCCGUGCGCAUCGAUCUGCUACGCCCGCUGAUGGGACUCGGCGCCGCUCUCGAUCGGCGCCGUGCGUGACAGAGGCCAAGCUUCCCUCGCCUUGCCCGCAGUGUGAUUCUUCUUUUUUCGUCACACCGCGCGCGCGGAUCAUGGCCAGGCACGACGCCGAGGCAUGCGAUGUCCCUUCGCGUACAAGGCGAUUAGUGCUCCACCCCGGCGAUUCCGUGUCUCCGAUGACGGCGCGAGUAUAUCGCCAGCUGCACGCGUCGUCUGCGUCGCCGGCCCCGCGGCGGCAGGAGCUGCACGAUGCGUCUCUUGUGACUCGUCCAUCAGAAGGUAAGAGUGCCCUGCGGCCACACAGCGGUCUUGUGCCGUCUCUCGGCAUGCGCCUGCACGCAGUCUCCCGACAGGUGUACGCGGACUGCCUAUAUCAUUACCUCUAUUACCUCCAGUGUACCACCCUCGCGGUGGUGGAGGCCGUCGACGAACUGCGGCGCCACCACCUCUCUCACGACGCUCCGUUCGUCGUCGAGCGCCGCAACUAUCUCCUUGAGGUGCUGAUGCAGACAUCCACGCUGGCAUGUGACGCGGCGGUGCAGUGGCUGAUGCAUGAGAGCACCUUCGAGAACGAAGGUGAUUUGAAGGAUGGAGGCGAUCAGCACCCCGUCGCUGGCCAGCCCAGCGACUCAACCAGCGACGCAGUGUACUGCUCGACCCUGCUUCCCGGAGCGGCACGGCAAACCUGCGACCAUGUCUCUGAGGCGAGGCGAUGGCCACCUGAAAUGCCCUGCUCCAACUCUUCUCGCCAGUGCGGUGACGCACCCGCGCCGGAGAUCGAGCCUGAAGGCGAGAGAGGUGCUCAAGGCACCAUGCACCGCGCUGUCGCGCGUGGCCAGUGGCCUGAACAGUUGCUGCGAGCACCGCUGAUGAGCACCCAUGCCAGUCUCGCCCGGUAUGCGGCGACGCCACGCUUUCUUGUCCGACUGGACGAAGCUCCGACCAGCAGUCCAGGCGCGCGGCAGGAGGCCGCAUCACGUACUACGCAACCCGGCGACGGCGGCCGCGGUCAGAACACGGCGCCCACGACUAUUACGCCGGUGUCAGCGUCCCUAUCGCCCUGGCGCUUGGUACUGCCAGCAGAUGUGCUGGCUUCGUACGGGGGUGGCACUGCGGCACCAGAGGAUGAGCGAUAUCAAACAAGGAUCGCGAGCGCCUAUGCCGUUCGCUCGAGCGCAGCGUCUUCUGCUGCCGCCCUGCGCAGGCGUCUGGAGAGCGGUGAGCAUCUGUUGCACCUUGAGGUGGCAACACAGCUCGCGUAUUUGCGGAGGUGCAUGCAGUGUGCGUUGCAGCACGAGUACAUGCUCUAUCUGCGCGGGAUGUCGGAAGUGCACCGCCGCUUUUACGCAGACAAGAGGAAGAUGGCGAUGUGCCGCCACGGUGCAGCGGCGCAAGUGUGUGCGACGGACUGUGACAGGAUGAAUGCCGCAGUGACGCGUGUUGGCACCCCUGCGAAGUACGGGAGCGUGGCCGCCACAAUGGCUCCUGACCGCUACGACCGCGUCUCUCUCAAGGAUGAGCUCUUGCGGACGGACUGGAUGAGGGAGCUGCGGGAAUCGUGGCAACUACUGAUGUCAGGCAGCAGCAGCGUAGCGUAGAGCCGAAGCCAGCGCCAAGCGCACGCAAGCCUCUGCGCCGCCCGGCACAAACGCCUCUUCUGUGCACGCGCUCUCCUUCUCCCUCUUCCCCCUUCCUUUCCGCAUCCUUUCUAGGCUGCAUGGCGGCGGCUAGCGUGUGUGCAUUCGCGUGUUGAACCAGUCACGCCAGUCCCUGCUUCGAACGGAGGCAGCCAGAAUGCCCCUCGGCCAUGCGACAAGCCUCUCUCACACACACACGUACGUGGCGAAGGAUGUGUGCGGACGGAUAUCUGCCCCAGCCCUUCCUCCUCCUCUCUCGUGUUUGUUUUAGUUCGACUGUUUUCGUGAAGGUUUUGCUUGCGCUUAUGGUCCGAAAAUCUCUUCAUGGCGGAGGGGGUGCCGAGGGUUACUAUCGCCCUUCCUUCUCCAUCGUCGUCUCCGGCUGAUAUCCACUAACCCGUUGGCUGCUUUGGCUUGUGGCUGUCGGGUGGGUCCUCUCGCUCGUCUCCGCCGCCGCCCCUCGCGCAACACGAGCGUGUUGGCAGCGCAUGAGCGCUACCUGUUCUUUUUUUUCGUGUGUGUGCGCGCUUGCUUGCAUUCGAAGUCAUUGUAUCGACGGCAUGCGCUUUCUCUGCACUGCGAGUGAGAAAAGCACCCCUUCUCCUCCGCCAACGCAUCAACGAUCCCCCUAUACUAGGUAGACGCAGAAACGCAAUAUCAUGGCUCUGUCCAGAGCAAGCGGAAGCCUGCACACACAAAAAAAAAACAAGCCGCUGACUUCCAUCAAGCACAACGUGUGCCAGCAAGUGAGUGCUUGAGAGGAGAGCCGUUGUAGGAGUUGCUGUCCAAGCUCGCUCAUUGCGGUGGCCGCCACGUGCGUGCUGGUCUCGCUAGAAGCGCGAUGGUAGCGCGUGAUGGGUCCGACUCUUGCAGCACGCUCAGCUUGCAACUCUUCUCUGC